rnacentral:misc_RNA from 1 species
GAUGAAGAACGUAGCGAAAUGCGAUAACUAGUGUGAAUUGCAGAAUUCCGUGAAUCAUCGAGUCUUUGAACGCACAUUGCGCCCCCUGGUAUUCCGGGGGGCAUGCCUGUCCGAGCGUCAUUGCUGCCCAUCAAGCACGGCUUGUGUGUUGGGUCGUCGUCCCCCCCUCCGGGGGGGGACGGGCCCUAAAGGCAGCGGCGGCACCGCGUCCGAUCCUCGAGCGUAUGGGGCUUUGUCACCCGCUCUGUAGGCCCGGCCGGCGCUUGCCGAACGCAAAACAACCAUUCUUUCCAGGUUACCUCGGAUCAGGUAGGAAUACCCGCUGAACUUAAGCAUAUCAAUAAGCGGAGGA